CUGGGGGCCAAGAGGGAGGCUUCCAGAAGACAACAAAAGUCCAUGAAGAACAGGGCACUUCUCAGCAACCCUCAAGGAAGCAAUUGAACUAAAGCUUGAAAACCAUGGGGUCACUGAGAGAAGGAGCCUGAAGAGAGAAAAGGAUGAAGGACCCAAAAAAGACUAACAUUUAACAGAUGGGAUGUGAAACAGAACCAGUUCCAGAAACCUAUGGAGAAAGCACAUGGAGAUAAUUAGUUCUACUUCCAGAGAGGGUAAACAUAUCACAAAUUUUUGUGACAUUGAAGAAAGAAGAGUUUCUUGAGCCAUCACUUUAUUAAUCUGCAAAGACUUCAUUGAUCUGUAUGACUUUGGCAUCCCUUUGAAUU
rnacentral:lncRNA from 10 species